UACGUAGGGGGCAAGCGUUGUCCGGAAUCAUUGGGCGUAAAGCGCGUGUAGGCGGUCCGGUAAGUCCGCUGUGAAAGUCGGGGGCUCAACCCUCGAAUGCCGGUGGAUACUGUCGGGCUAGAGUGCGGAAGAGGCGAGUGGAAUUCCUGGUGUAGCGGUGAAAUGCGCAGAUAUCAGGAGGAACACCAAUUGCGAAGGCAGCUCGCUGGGACGUAACUGACGCUGAGACGCGAAAGCGUGGGGAGCAAACAGG
rnacentral:rRNA from 1 species